GUUUGAUUAUGGCUCAGAUUGAACGCUGGCGGGAUGUGCUUUACAUGCAAGUCGAACGGCAGCACGGACUUCGGUCUGGUGGCGAGUGGCGAACGGGUGAGUAAUGUAUCGGAACGUGCUAGUAGCGGGGGAUAUGCAGCGUAGCUAAUGCACAUACGCCCUUCGGGGGAAAGCGGGGGACCUUCCCGGGCCUCGCACUAUUAGAGCGGCCGAUAUCGGAUUAGCUAGUUGGUGGGGUAACGGCUCACCAAGGCGACGAUCCGUAGCUGGUUUGAGGAGGACGACCAGCCACUGGGACUGAGACACGGCCCAGACUCCUACGGGGGAGGCAGCAGUGGGGAAUUUUUGGACAAUGGGGAAGCCCACAGUCAGCCAUCCCGCGUAGUGCGAUGAAGGCCACGGGUUGUAAAGCACUUUUGGCAGGAAAAGAAACGGCACGGGAUAAUACCCCAUGCAGCGACAGUACCUGCAGGUGCUUUCCUUUAACUACGUGCCAGCAGCCAUGACAAUACGUAGGGUGCAGCGUUAAUCGGAAUUACUGGGCGUAAAGCGUGCGCAGGCGGUUCGGAAGAAAGAUGUGAAAUCCCAGAGCUUAACUUUGGAACUGCAUUUUUAACUACCGAGCUAGGUGUGUCAGAGGAGGUGGAAUUCCGCGUGUAGCAGUGAAAUGCGUAGAUAUGCGGAGGAGCCACCGACGAAGGCAACCUCCUGGGAUGCCACUGGCGCUCGUAAAGCAUUAGAGGGGGCAAGCAAGUUAGAAUGCACAGUAGUCCACGCCCUAAAGCGAUAUCAUUAGCUGUUGGGCCUUGGAGCCUUGGUAGCGCAACUAACGCGUGAAGUUGACCGCCUGGGGAAAUGCCGGUCGCAAGAUUAAAACUCAAAGGAAUUGACGGGGACCCGCACAAGCGGUGGAUGAUGUGGAUUAAUUCGAUGCAACGCGAAAAACCUUACCUACCCUUGACAUGUCUGGAAUCCCGAAGAGAUUUGGGAGUGCUCGCAAGAGAACCGGAACACAGGUGCUGCAUGGCUGUCGUCGGCUCGUGUCGUGAGAUGUUGGUUAAGUCCCGCAACGAGCGCAACCCUUGUGCAUUAGUUGCUACGAAAAGAGGGCACUCUGUGGAACUGCCGGUGACAAGCCGGAAGGUGGGGAUGACGUCAGUCUCUAUGGCCCUUAUGGGUAAGGGCUUUACGUCAUACAAUGGUCGGGACCAGAGGGUCGCUAACCGCGAGGGGAGCCAAUCCCAGAAACCCGAUCGUAGUCCGGAUCGCAGUGCAACUCGACUGCGUGAAGUCGAAUCGCUAGUAAUCGCGGAUCAGCAUGUCGCGGUGAAUACGUUCCCGGAAUGCCAUGCACCGCCCGUCUGCAUGGGUGGUUGCCAGUAGUUAGCCUAACCAUGGAGGGCGAUUACCACGGUAGGAUUCAUGACUGGGGUGAAGUCAUGUGAGUAA
rnacentral:rRNA from 1 species